GAUUGAUUGAUUGAUCGUACUCCUUUUCCAACAUUUGCUUGUUUUGUACACCUGGCUUUAUGAAAUCGGGGAAAUUACUCCUUCAAUUCCGAAACUGAUGCUGAGAUUCCUAAAUAGCAGACUCGUAGCUAUAAUGACCUGUUUCUGUACUGUAUAUUCUAAAAAGCAGCUAUGUGCUUCUAUUGAUUGUUGAAGAAUGUUAGAAAACAUAAAGGGACACACUCAUAUUAGAUCAGAAUGCUGUUUUGAAUUAUGUGUCUGCAGUACAUUUCUACUGAAAUAUACUGUCCAGUAAAUCUAUGUAACAGCAUGUUUGAUGUUGUUCUAGUUGUUGUAAACCGGGUCAUUGGAACAUGCAUUUAUGGCACAGUAAAGAUGGGGAGGGCCCCAGAUGUAGAUAACAGUUGGUUACUUCAAUGUAUUCGUUUAGAUGGGAACAACUUUUACAAGCACAGAGUAAUGACAAUGACACAAUCAUGAUCAUAUAUUCUCCCUAAACGGCUAAAGUAGCUUGUCCUUGCUCAGUGUAUGGAUAAAGAGAUGAACAAGUUGUCCUAUCAUAAAGUAAACAUGCUAUCAUAAAGUAAACAGGCUUAAGCUGAGAACAAAAGAGAGCACAAUGGAAUGCUACGAUGCCAUGGAAACCAUACAGUCACAAGUUCACACACCGGCCUGGGUAUUUAAAUCAUAAUACUUCAGUACAUUUGUAUAGCGCUUUUCAUUAUUCAGAAUGAUCUCAAAGCACGUUAAAGAAAAAUAUAAAAAUGUAAGGACAAAAAAGCAUGAUUAUCAACAAAAGUCGUCCCCUAUAAAAAUGCCUUUAGGCCUGUUUAAAAUGAGCCCAGAGACUGUGGUGACUUCAAGUGGUUUGGGAGGGCUACGAGUGGUUGAGCUAAAAGCCUGAUCCCCCAAAGGGGAGAGUUUUGUCUUGGAGACGUGGAGGAGCUGACUAUUACUUAACCUGGGGGUGCAUGGAAUUAUGGAGGGAUAGAGGUUUCUUUGAGAUAUAAAGGGGCACUGCCAGGACCUCUGGUAGGUCAAUAGGAGGCUUUUGAAUUAAUAUCCAAAAUGAGACAAGAAGCCAGUGCAGAGAGACCAUGAUGGGGGUGAUAUGGUUACGUUUCUGUACUUUGAUCAGGAUAUUGGCAGCACUGUUUUGGAUAUAUUGGAGUUCCUGACUCCAGACUGAUGACAGGACCAAGAGGGAGCAUAUAGAGGAUAAACAGGAUGGAACCAAGAACAGAAACCUGUGGUGCACCGCAGGAGAUGUGAUAGGUCUGGGACCUAGACCCACCUUGUGAGGUCCUGUCUGAGAGGUAUGAGUGGAACCAUCUCAGGGCUUGCCCAGACAGUCCUGUGGUGUCCCGGAGAUUUUCUAGGAGGAUCAGGUGCUCAAGUCCAAGAGGUUAAGGAGACAAAGGGAGCCUGCAUUAGCUGCCAUUAGUAAGUCAUUGGUGACCGUGAGCAGGGCUGUUUCAGUGCUGUGGGCCUGCUGGAAACCUGACUGGAGUUUCUCAAAUGAGCUGUUCUGAUUUAGAUGGUCCUGAAGCUGUAUAGCAACCACUUUCUCCAACAUCUUGGAGAGGAAAGGGUGGUUGAAGAUUGGCCAUGAAAUUGUGUGUUCCUGUUUGCUCAGCUCCUUAGCGAUGUGUAGUACAUAUUAACAGUUAUACACAAUAGCUAUCCCUUGGCUUCGUCUAACAGAAAUUCUACACACUAUAGUGGGUAUGGAUAACGGUCUGACAAAAACAGUUACCCUCAAAUUAAAGACCCUGAUUGACCCUGAUUGCAUAAUAAAAGAUUCUUAUUAUUAUUAUCUCCAAGAUUUCAACUAUUAUGUAGUUGACACACAGAACAUGAUCUCCCUGAAAAAGACAAUCAAAGCUUUGACAUAUAAAAUGUAUUGAUUUCAUUAUGAGGAACAAGAUUUUACAUUUCAUACAAUAAUGAGAAGGAACACUGACAGCUAGGGUUAGGGUUAAUGUGGUGUUUGGACAUGAAAUUAUAGUUACAGUUAGUGUUGAUGUAGGGUAUGGACAGGAAAUUAGAAUUAGUUUUAUGAGUAGACAAGGGGGAUUACAUUCUUAGGACAUAAUAAUGUUCUUGUUACCAACUUUCUGCACUUAAAAACAAAAGUGAAUAGAGCAGCAUCAUAGUCACACAGAUGUUCACAUAGAGUAAUUGUCUAUUUAAAAUUAUCUUCCUUUGGAACUUCCACUCUUUGGCUGAGUCAGUUCCACUUACUACCUGUUAUGUAUAACACUAUCCCAUGGCCACCCGCCAGCGUUUUGCUGCUGGCGGGUGGCAGGAGGCUAUAAUGUCGUACAGCCAGUGGGCGACCAGCUUUUGCUGCUUUUCUCCUGAUCUCAAUUUGCAUAAGCUAAUUUGCAUCUCAGGAGGCUUUCCACCAGCGGCCCGACUGCUUUACGCUGGUGGUGAGCUGCCAAAAAGAGGGCGUGCGCUGUAAUCUGCUGUAUCUGCUGUAUCUGCUUGUGUUGCCAUUUUCUUCCAGCAGACAUGCUAUUGUACCCAUUUUAUUCUUGUACUGAAUGUAUUAACGUUAUUGUAAUAUUGUUAAAUCUUAGUGUACAGAAUUUUGGUAAACAUUGGUAAAUAAUGAAUAAAAUAGACUUUGACUGUCCACAAGUUUGGUUGCUUACUAUUUUUUGUUUCUUCGUUUAUCCUCAAGUUCAGAUGUUUUGCGCUUCUUCACAUAUCAACAGUUGAACAGGUCAUGACGUUUUCUAUAGUUUUGUUCCCGGAGUAGGAUGACUGUGUGGCAGUAGCUCCAUGCCUGUGGCUCAAAGGGAGACUUUGGUACUGGCCACCACACAGCAUCACCAGCAGGAAGUCCUUCAGCCACGACAAGUUUGCCAGAACUUGUUCACCAUCUGAAGACACCUGGGAGGCUGUCCCUUAUAAGCUCAUCGAUCAUGCAGAGACCAGACGUGUGUAUCGCCAGAGGAGUGAAAAUCGUUCCAACAUGGGCCCCUACCAUCCCAAGGACGCACAUCUACACCACAACACCCUGUGCAUUGCAGCCCUGGAGGAUAGAACGAGCACAGUACUCCAAGGCACCAGAGAGGUACUCCACAACACCAUGUAGAGGAUUGCUACAUAGAACAUUUGGAGAAGAUCAAGCAGCUGUCUGAAGUGAAGGUCGAGCUGAGGGCACAGCUGGCUCUACAAUCAGCUUCUGAUAAACCUCUGACUGAAGAGAAUGUCAAGCUGAGGGCAAUCAGGAGCCAUAAGGAAGAAUCCUUCCAACCAGGAUGCCACUGACGAGGCUGUCCAGAACCAGGUCCCCAGGUAUCAGAAAGGGGCAGCUGACUGUGCAAGUGGGAGAAGAUGUUGCGGCGAUACAAGGGACCUUUUAUUAUAGGCUAAAAUGUAUUUAAAUUCAUUUGCACAUGUUUAUUUUAUAUUCUUGCUGUGUAAUGCAAGUUUUUUUGUAUGCAUCUUGCACUAUUAGAAAUACAUUGUUUAGAUUAUA
ensembl:lncRNA